GGAAGGAUCAUUACUGAACUGUCGACACGAGUUGUUGCUGGUCCUUGAAAGGGGGCACGUGCACGCUCUGUUUACACAUCCACUCACACCUGUGCACCCUCUGUAGUUCCGUGGCAUCGGGGACUCUGUCCCCUUGCCGUGGUCCUACGUCUUUACACACACACACCGUAAUACAGUCUCAUGGAAUGUAUGUCGCGUUUAACGCAAUACAAUACAACUUUCAGCAACGGAUCUCUUGGCUCUCGCAUCGAUGAAGAACGCAGCGAAAUGCGAUAAGUAAUGUGAAUUGCAGAAUUCAGUGAAUCAUCGAAUCUUUGAACGCACCUUGCGCCCUUUGGCUAUUCCGAAGGGCAUGCCUGUUUGAGUAUCAUGAACACCUCAACUCUCAUGGCCUGCCAUGAUGAGCUUGGAUUUUGGGGGUCUUGCCGGCGAAACCGUCGGCUCCUCUCAAACAAAUCAGCUUGCCAGUGUUUGGUGGCAUCACAGGUGUGAUAACUAUCUACGCUUGUGGUUCUCCACCAGGUAACCUUCAGCAAUGGAGGUUCGCUGGAGCUCACAGACGUCUCUCCUCAGGGAAGACAGCCUUUGAACGUUUGAUCUCAAAUCAGGUAGGACUACCCGCUGAACUUAAGCAUAUCAAUAAGCGGAGGAAAAGAAACUAACAAGGAUUCCCCUAGUAACUGCGAGUGAAGCGGGAAGAGCUCAAAUUUAAAAUCUGGCGUGCCUCUGGUCGUCCGAGUUGUAGUCUGGAGAAGCGUUUUCCGUGUUGGACCGUGUACAAGUCUCUUGGAACAGGGCGUCAUAGAGGGUGAGAAUCCCGUCUUUGACACGGACUACCAAUGCUUUGUGAUGCGCUCUCAAAGAGUCGAGUUGUUUGGGAAUGCAGCUCAAAAUGGGUGGUAAAUUCCAUCUAAAGCUAAAUAUA
rnacentral:rRNA from 1 species